CUCUUACUACGCUACUACGUUGACUCGAACGUUUUGGGAGUAACGCUAUUCUGCGAGCGCGUGCUCGCAAACACCCCUGAAAACGGGAAUGUAGCAACGGAGAUGGUGUGCUGGUGGUAUGUAGUAGGGAUGAUGGCGAUAUAGGGAGGCUGCAACGAUAAAAGCGGCGACAACAGAGGCGCAACGACUGUAUCAGGGGUAAAACGGAAUUAGGGGAAGAGAAGCUUGGAUUGACGAUAUCAAAA